ACACCCCUGGGACACCGCCGGGGGUUCCCCCCCGGGAGUGCUGCGGCUUCGCAGCGGGUUGUGUCUCGGAGAAGCCGGAGCGCUCGCAAGGGACACUUGAGGCUGCGGUGUUGUUUUGGGAUCUGAGAGUGUCGGUCACUUGUGGGUUUGGCUGGUGCUUUUCGGUACCACACAGGCACGGUGCGCAUCUGCCUCGAGCCUCGCAGGUUCUGCACACCCCUCCCUGACAUCUCUCCCAACACACACUCCCACCCUCCAUCUUGACCCCAGUGAAAACCGUGGCAUUUCCCUCUCAAACUGGGCUGCAUCAAAACCAGUGGAGAACCUGUGGAAGGAAAACGUAUGGGGAAGACUUCUUGUUGGGCACAUGGGAGUACCAGAGUGGACACUGGUUUUGUGAAUAGGAAUGCUGGGGACACAUGGCUAUUGGCAGAUUGGAGACACUGAGCAUCAGUGCGCUGGGAUGACCACAACUACACUUCAGACUUCCUGCAGACCCAUGGAAAUGAAUCUUUUAAGUCUAUGGUUUGCCCUCAAGACUUUUGUCACAUGUUGAAGCCUUGACCAUCCAAAGAGUAUAAACCUGUAUAAAACUGUAUUUUACACACAGUGCAUAAAUUAGAAGGCACACAUCAGGCUGCUUUCAACUACUACUUUUUGCUGGAUAGAAAACCACCACAGCUCAGCUUGGGGCCUUACAGGGGAACAUCAACACAAGGGUUCCUUGGCUUCAGCCUCUGUAUGCCUUUGGAUGGGAACACCACCCAUUCCUGCAGGUGUGACGGGAUAUUUGGAAAGACAGAUGUGAAGGCAUGGAGAAGUGUGGCUGGAUCAGAAUUCAGCAAAGCUGCUGCAAGACCACUUGGAACAGUUGCAGUGCCUUGACCCAGUGAGAUAGAUCUGUGUAGUUCAUUUGGAUGUGUGGAGAGGGAAGUCAAGAUUGAAACUUAAACCUGGAGCUCUGUGCUGCAUGCAA